rnacentral:lncRNA from 1 species
GUUUUUUGUAAAGUGUGAUUUCUGUCACUUAAAACACUAUGGGAAACUUUCAAAUUAAUUAAUUUAAUUUAAUUUAAUUUAAUUAAUUCAUUGAUGAAGCUAAACCUAUAUUUGCGCUUUCGGAAAAAUGUAUAAGAGUAUUUUCACAAGCUGGGGGUCCUCUUUAGUUUUAAUGGAUGCUAGUACCAUGACCUUUUUUCUUGAAAAGCUCAUGGAAAACUUCAGGGCAGGGGGAUGAAAUAUUUUGAUUGGCAGAAAAGAUGGGAUGUUUAUAAUUUUAAUCAAAUUUAGAAUCAAGACAUACUUCAAAUAAUAUGUCAGACUAGUGUUAAUGAGUUUAAAAUCUAAUGACAACAGCUGUCAUUAUUAGUUAAAUAUAGCCAAUGUGCCUAUGGCAAUAAGUGACACUUCUGAACAUGUAGAAACAAAAAAUUCUCAAGUAUUUAGAGAAAAGGGAGUGACUGUAAACUUAUCUAAACCCAGGAAUGUGACCUGGGCAUAAUGUAUUUCCCAAGUACAGAGGCUUCUGUAAUUUGGACAAAAGAAGUAAUUGAAUGCAACAUUACGUGUUGUUACUACUAGAACGCUCAUAUUUUAGGAAACUUGGACAUUUUUCUUGUUUCAUAAAUAUAUUUCAGAGAAGUUUGUAAUUUGUUACAUUAUAUAUUAAAAAGUUUCAGAUUAAUUUCUGCAUUACUGUGUUGUUCCCUUUAAAAUGCAUUGCUCGGUUUUCAGAAUCUUUAUUAAAAAGUAUUAACUGGGGAAAUUGUGCCCUGUGUUUAAUAGAAACAAAUAUUUUUUUGCAGAUUAAGUUUUGGAUUUAUGAGGUUAUCAAAGUUCAAUUAUACAUUUAUUGGAAUUUAUUUCUAACAGGAUGUGAGAAAAGGGAAAGAAAUUAUAUGUGUAUGUACAUAUAAAUAACACAGUACGUAUCAUACUAUAUCAGUGUAUUUGUAAUACCAUUUGGUAGUUCCUUUAAGCCUGGAAGUCUGUUUCUUUUUAUUAUCAUUUAAAUAAAGUUUCUUAUAACUGUGUAAAUCUUGUUAUGCAAUGAUGAUGUAAAACAAUCCAGAAUGAAGGAGGUAGGUGAUGGGAAAACAAGAAAACUGAGUUACUAUAUUUUGAAAUAAGUUUGUUGUAUUGAAAAAUUUAUUUAAUGCUUAUAAAUUACCUGGACUUAGAUCAUGAAUCAUCAGUUCAGUAUUUAGAUAGGGAAUUUCAAAUUAAAAUGUAAGUGCUCUGUGAAUCUAUAUUUGUAAUUCUGUAAGCCAUGUUCUUCAACCUUUUUAGCAAACUCUUGUGUCUUCAUAUCACAAGGAAUCCUUUUGCUGCAGGAAGGGAUUACAUGAAAUAGGGAUAUGAAAUAUAAUUCUGACAUUUUGAGAUGAUUUAAAAAAUUUGCAACCACUUUAAUUAGCAGUACCAACGUUACCAUGUGUUUUGAGACAGUUCCACUUCGGUAAUGCACUCUACUUAUCCACAGGUCUAACUGUCAUUUCAGUUUACUGAGUUAAUCUUCACUUUCUGUACAAAAGUUUUUACUAGUUUUGCUGAUCUUGUUUAGACAUUUCAACAACUAACAUUAAGCACAAUACCAACCAUAUUUAUUUUUUGACAAUUAUGAUACUUUAUAAUAUAAACUAAAUAUUGUGUAUAAAAAGCUAGGUUAAGAUUUGUAAAUUUGCAAAAUCAAGCACCUAGUGAUUAAGACAACAAAUCACAUGGUGACAGGAUUAUUGAAAACCACAGAAUAAUUCAGUAUGUGAGGUGCCCCUGCAGGUCAUCUGCUCAAAGCAGGGCUGACUUCGACAAGUAGGCUAGGUUGUUUGGGGCAUUCUCCAGUUAAAUUCUGAAAAUUUCCAAAGAUGGAGAUUCCUCAGCUUCUCUGGGCAAGCCAUUUCACUGCUUAAUUACUGUGAUUCUUUUUCGCCUUACAUUUAGUUAAGUCUUCCCAUGCUGUGUCUGUGACUGCUUUAUCAUGUCCUUUCAUUGUGCCUCUAUGAGAGUCUCUCUCUCUCUUUUCUAUGUAGGUUGCUCUGAAAGUAAUUCCUCCUAUUUGUUUCCAUGGAAGUGACAACACUGUUUGAUAGAGCAAAUUCUCAGCUACUGAACACUAUUUUUCAACGUUGUCAGCUCCAUUAGCUAUGCAUUUUCACCAGUGUUGAAGAAGAGUGUGCAUGCCUUGCUGGUACAAAUCUGUACCAGUGGAAAUGACACAUUGUUUCACAGUUGACACAAUGUCAUUGUUCCUAGGAAAAUGUUGCCCAUGCAGUCCGUCUUUCACUGGCCUGAAGAGAUGGAAGUCAAAAGGUGCUAAAUCUGGAUCAUUCGGUAGGGCAGUCCAGCCAAGGUAGGCAAUGUAAUUUACAGUCUUUAAACUGAUACGGGGCCUGGCAUUAUUGUGUAUUUCUGCACAGAGGAAUUCAGUUCCACACCUUCAUCUGCACUUCUGUGUCAGAUGCCUUUCUGUCAGACUGCCCCAUUGCUGCCACCUUUUGCAUGGCAACAAAAUGUAACGGAAUAUUGGUGGUUGAACCUUUACUGUUAUACCACCAACAUCUGCCACUGAUGUUAUGGGCUAACAUAAUGAAAUAGGAGGUAUUAUUUUCAGAGCAGACCUCGUAUGUCUUGCUAGUGGAUUCCUGGUUUGUGAAUCCCAGGAGAUAAAUUCCACACUUCUCAAAUCAGGAAGGGUCACGGUGGUGGCAUAAGGAUGUGCAGCCACAUUAAUGUUCAGAUGAUUUCAGGUAGCAAAAGUAAUUUCUUGCUGUGAAUAAGGGAACACAAAGACACUCAAGUGGCUGAUUUUAUGUCUUGGUCUGAAACAGUGAAAGCAUGCUCACUGCCUUGUAGUGCCUGUCCUCUGUGCAUGUAGCAGAUUCAUUGAUGUCUUGUUUAGCCCUGGCUAGAAACGAAUGGUCAUGCUUAGUAUUUUUUGGCCAUUAAUAUCUUAGAAGGCUUAUUCCUAUUGUGUUUGAAGCCUCCUUGCAGGCUUAUACUGUAUAGACAAGCUUGACUUUCAGAGUAAUUCUCCCACCAACCCUAAGGGGUAUUUUAGAGAUAACCUUAAAGGGUGGGCAAAAUGUGUCUUCAUCGCAUUCUUUGGCUUAGGCAGCAGUAAUCUUCCUAAAUUUGCCUUACGGCAUCUAUUUGCUCUUAUUGUUCAAGGCCAAGCAGUCUGUAGGUUUCACUUUCUGUCAUUUUUCAUUAUAAUUUCAAUCGGCUGCCAGUUCUUUUCCAAGUAUCAGUCUGCUCAGGAAAAAGUCAAACUACACUUAUUAAUGUUGAUACCUAAACAGAAAAAAACAUUCUUUUACGGUUACCCCAGCCAAGCAGUAACACUUCCUUGUAUGAGGAAUAAUAAAUCAGUAAUAACGAACACUUCCCAGUUGUUUAAUAAGGACUUAAACACACAAGGUUGUUAAUGCCAUUCAGUGAAGUCUCUGCAUUUCUCAAUCUAGCAUUGUUAAUUUAGCCAUUAGAGGCAAGAACUAGUGCUGUUUGUCUGCAUCCUACCUGAUGUUCAAGUUUUAUGUAUGCUGAGUAAAAUGCUAUUUGGAGUCUGUCUACCUACUGCUACUGGCGUUGGCAAAGUCCUUUGAUGGUAAAACCUGAUCAGGGACUGUUGUGUACUUUAGCAGCUGAUUUCUAAUGAAUUCAUAUAAUGUGCCCAUGCCAAUUGGAUUUCACAGUGGCUACAGAACACAUUCCAGAGAACUGUAAAUGUAUAUGUGCUGUUUGAAAGACAAACAUAAGGCAAAAUUUGUAAAUUUACAAGGAACAAGAAGAGUUCUGGCAAAAAAAAAAAAAAAAAAAAAAAAAAAAUCAGGAAAAUUAUAUAUGUGAUGUAUAUGUGUUAACAAGUACAGCACAUAAAAAUCAGAUCUAUGGAAUGAAGCAAUUAGUACAAAGUAACUUAGUUCCGCACUGCACAAAUUUUAAGAGAUUCUACUCUGGGCUAGCUCUUGUCUGUGCAAUGGACUAAUGGAGCUGCUUAGAGUAAACUGUUUAUUCACCCAAAUCAGUUUGUAUACUCUGACACAGUUCUGUGAUGUGAAUGAAAGUACGUUAAGUGGAAGCUGUAAGUUCCUCACUUAAAAACUACAGUAUUUGUUUAAACUAGAAAGCUAACAUAGAUGCAUCCUUGUAGAGGGAAAAAGACUUCACUAGUUUGUAAAUGCCUCAAAAUAAAACUUAUUUGCAUAUUGAGAAAUAAUUAACUUCGGUUACAAAAUGACCCCCACUGGAGUAAUAGUUUUGUAAAUGCACAUUCUCUGUCAUGAUAAAUGUCUGUAUCAGAACUUAAUUCAGUAAUGUUAUCUAAUUUAAACUGAGGAUCUGAUCCAUUGACUUUAGAAUCCACCGUGAGGUUCCAUAGGUUGACAGUCACAGAGGAUAUAUAAUAAAGAAACUAAUCCAUGGCUUACUUUUUAAUUGUUUUUUUUACAUUCAUUGCCUAUAUCAGUGUUGGUGUAACAAAAAAUUGUGUUUUGUCUUAGACCAGCAAAUCAUCAUGAAAUCUGGGCUGCUUAUAUUUGCUGCUUGUAUAUGUGGGUUAGAGAAUCCGUUAAUGUACUCAACAUAUACUCUGUAUUUAAUAAGAAUGUAGCCUCAUGAUGUAAAGAUUUGUGAAUAGAAACAUUUUUCAAAAGAACUGUCAUGCACCUACGAAGUCCAACUGUAAUAAAUCAGUAUGAGACUUACAUUUUUGAACUUAUGUACACGGACUCAUUCCAUUAACGUCAAUUGUCCAUCACAAGACUAAGGAUCAAAUUUUUAACUGAGUUAAUCAUCUACCUCCCAGUAAUUUUAGUGAACUUAGAUUAUUAAAUAAUUUUUAAAGGCCACUAGUUCUUAUGUUUUGAAUACAUUAUUAUGAAUAAAAUAUUUAUUGCUGCAGUAUUGCUAGAUACUUCCUGUUUAUAUUUUGUGUGCAAUGUACACUGAUAUUCUUUAAAGAUUUAAUUGUAAGUGCAUUUUGUGCAGAGCACUACACCACUUAGAGGUCAAUUUCUAGUGUUCAGAAAAGAGGGAAACAAACAGUCGAUGUGAAAUAAAGGUGUCAUCUGUAUGAUGCAGUGUCAGAUAUGAAAUUCAAGUGAUGUACAAGAGGGUCAGGCUUAAUUUUUCUGAAGCAGAAGAAAUGAGAGACAUUUCAUUUUUGUAGGUGAGAAGUGAAAUGUUCCUCUCUGCUCACUGAAAGAGGCAUGCUAAGGUGAAUUUUAAUUAUGACUAAAUUGUGGUAUUACUCUUUCAUACCCUGAACAUCUGUUCCCUUCAGGAAUGAUGAUUUAUGCAGGCUAUCACUGCAGACAGCUUGCUACAGCUUAUGUCACGGUUAGUAGGAAGCUGGUGGUAGAAUUUCAGAAAAUACCAGCGUCUAAGUGAAGACAGGCCAGUGUGUAUUUUUAAGGUAAUAUGGAAAGGGGAGCACGAUAUGUCCAUUUUUAAUUUUGAAGCCAAAUAUUGACUUUACAUUUUUUUUCUUUUUCUUUCAGACCAUCUGUCAUUAAUGAGGAAAGUAACUCGGAUAGUGAAUGGCCUGGUUCUUCAUAACAGUUUCAACAAAAAGAAAAUGAAGCUGUCAUUUCCAACUGCAUGUAGAAUAUUGUUGACAAGAAUUCUGACAGGUUUAUAGUGUUUAAGAACUGGAUAGGGCAGGAUAAUUCCAAGACUAUUGCAUCACAAAAUCAAAUUGAAAAGGUAACCUUUGUUUAUUAACAUGUAUGAAUGCAUCUUCAAAUUACCUUCAUUGCUACCACUGGUUUAUUGUUUUCCUGUAACUAUAGAUUAUUCUUAUAAAAAGAAACCAAAAACUCUUUUGAAUUACAAAGCCUUGGAAUUCAACAAAACUAGGGGUUAUAUUUAAGUUCAUGUUACUUAAGAAAAAUAAGGUAAAAUUUUCUCAGUGAACCUUCUCCCCUGAUAGCCCUCCUGCUCUUUAACCUACACUUCUUUACCCAGUAAUCAGCCUAGCUUAUGAUUAUGCCUAUUUUUGUGUGUUCUAACAAUAUAUGUAAUAGAGGAUUUAUUAACAAGGAAUAUUAUUUCUAAGUUUAUCUGAGGCAUGGAUAAUGUAUUUGAAAAUACAGCCAAGUUUGAUUAUAUCUGUCUUAAAAUAAAAAAAAUUAAUUAAAAUAAAAAAAAAUAAAAAAAUAUCUGUCUUAAAAUAUAUAACACCGUAACCACAUAACAAAGUAUUUCAAAGUUACACUCUGUGCAAUUUUUUUCAUCUAUAGUAUUUUUUGGUAAUUUAGUAGGUUUUAGGGUAAUACACUCUUUGUUUUCAGGUAAAUCUAGAAGGUUGAAUAAUAACUUCUACAUUCAUUGUGAUAAGUAUAAUUAAAAUACUCAGAUCAAACUUGUACAUACUCUUGUACACUGGAGCAAAAAGAUUCAGCAGUGAUUUUUAAACUUCACAACAAAUCAGUAGCUUGAUAAAGUGUUAAUCAACCUUUGUCUUUUUUCCAUGGGGAUAUUUUUGAUCUGGACCAUUAAUUAUUGAACUGUCAUCUACGAGGCCUUAUACUUCUUGUAAUGGGUAUCCAAAAGCAACUGAGGGUAGAGUUUUGAGCAUGUUUAAAGUCAGUGUACUCCAGCACUGCUGUUAAAAGAAGCUGUCUUGGCCUCCACCGUUUUUAUCCAGUCAUUGUAGACCUUCUGCAACUCCAUGGGUAGCAUAAGGGUUUUGUUUCAUCAUUCCAUGAACCACACAGGGGAGCUGGUAUAGGUAAAAGAUAAACCAGUUAAAAUUGUCAGUUUUAAUUGGGAAUAGUUUCUAGAAUCUUGUUCUCUGCACAGCCCCAAAAUGCUGUUGUGUUUUCUCUGAAAGACAAAAAUUCUUUGGAAAAUUCUAGUCUGUACUUCUCGGUUCAGGGAAAGGAGAACUAAAGCCAAAGUUAUAUGUUUACAUGCAAUUCACAUUUGCAUUUUAUACGAGCAUCUGAUCCUCCAGUGAACAAUGAAUGUAUCAAGAUACACACAUUGAAAUAAAUUCAAAAUAUGUGUCUCAGGUAUUCAAUACAACUGUAAGUACAAAAUAGAAGUACUUUUAAAUCUUCAAAAUAAUAUUUUAUGCUGUCUAGUGAUUUAAAAAAGUAAACAUAUUUCUUGCUUAUAAAUCGGCAAUGAAAGACUGUACAAAUUGCAAUACUGUGUCAGACUGGAAUUUAAUCUAACCUAAUAUCCUAUCUUUGAGUGAAUAUUCAAAGACAAGUGGAAGGAUGAGAACAGUAUGCGGCACGUAUGAUGUGUACGAUAAUUUUUAAGCAUAUUUUCCUCAUUCGACCAACUCCAGUCCUGAUGUACUCAAAUCACAAACAGUGUGUCAGAAGCAGUGCAUUUUCCUGUUGCUUGAAAGAAAUAUUGAUAUUUGAACAGGACAUGAGUUGUUCCCUUUGCAGUUUAAUUUCUUAAGCAUGAUUUAAAAAAUCAAUUAAAAUGUGUUUUCUUUUUUUUAAUGUAUAAUAAGCAAAAUAGCAGAUUGAUACUGCUCUGCAAAAAUAAUCUCUGUAGACAGUAACAAUUUAUUUUCUGACUUAUACCUAUUAAUGAAAAAGUGAACUGUCUGUGCAAAGAAUGAUGUGAGCAGGGAGGUCUCAAAUACAACUGAAAAACGGAGAAUGUUUGAUUCUUUUUGUUCUGAACCUCUGUAAAAAGUGAUAGCAUUCUCACUUGAGAUAUGCUAGAUCCAUCUCAAUGAAGAGCCUAAAUAACACAGUGAACUGUCUCUUUUUCAAUUCUCAAAAUCUGCUAGACUGAUCUCAAGAUCUGCUAGACUGUACCAUUUACUUACUGGACAGAUUUCUGAUGGAAAAGCAGCAUACCGACCAUAUAGCUGCCAAUAUGAAGCUGGUGGUUAUCAAAUAGGAAUCACAAUUCAUUGAAGAAUUCAUUGAAGAAUGUUUGUUUUCUUUUUCUUUGUUUGUUUGUGUUUGUUUUUUUUUUCAUGCUAAAGAUGCCCAUCAUUAUGCAGUUAAAUCCAGAAAGAUUAAUAACCGUGUUUAUAAAAUUUGAAAGAAGACGUGAGAGAGAUUUUUUUGUCUUCCAUGCAUAUUUGAACUGGUAUGAAGCAAUUUUUCUCUUCUGUCAAAGUUUAGAAAAUUUCUGAAGUAAUCUUAGUGAGUCUUUUUACCUUCUCAAAUAUAUAUAUAUAUUUUAAUUAUUUUUUUUAAGACAGACUAGAAUUUGAAAUGGGAGACUCAAGUAAAGGUUCAGAUUCUGUUUUGUUCUGAUUGGGCUAGAAUCUGAUAUUACCAAAUUUAUUUGAGAGGAGUAUUCUCAGCUACACAUCUGCCUAGAAAGCUAAGGACCACUAGUUGUAAGAAAUCGGAAACUACAACUACUGGAGGACCUUGAGUCCACUUACAGAAAUUGUGUCAUAUGUUUUCCUAUUUUUUUCCUUGCCAGAAAAUGAGUUCAGAGUUAAAGUAGAACUGGAUCAGAAAUAUGGCAUUUGGGCAAAAAUAAGGCAAAUUUUUGGAAAAUGGGCAAGAAGGAGAAAAUGUGCUGAAUUUUAGCAAACCUUAGUGGUAUGCAACACCUUCGGAAAAGUUCCAUGUUUGCGCAUGUUAGAGCAGCAUUAAAAAUAGUGAAAUUAAAUCUGAAAGUGAAAAACAGAGAAAAAAGGCUGAGAAACACAAAACUUUAUUCAUGGUGUAUUUUCUUUGUUUUAUUUUAAACUAUAAUUUUUGAAGAGGUGGUAUCGCUCCGAAGUUUGAUGUGCAGUGACAUCUGCGUAGAUUUUGUUGAGGUGAUUGAAAACUGAGUAUGAAUUUUAAUUCUCCAGUAAGAUAGUACUACAAUAUAUGUGGAGAAAUCACUGGCAAUGUUAUAAGUACUCCUGUGCUUGACAGAUGCCUGCAAAAUUCCAUCACUCUUUUCAAUGGACCUGUUUGGGUCUCUGAGAGAGAAGGUUUCAGCCUCUUAAGAGCAAAGAUUUAUAUCCAAGAAGCUCUAUUGGCCCUGCACCAACGAUUGCAAGUCUGCAAACUGUUGCAAGCCGCUGCACUGAAGAAACAAUGUAUGUGCAACAAAGGGAUGGAGACUUUUACACAAUUUGCGAGUUAAAAAACAUUCCUGGGAAGUUAAGCAUUCAUUAGAGUGCUCCUGAAGGUAUGUUUUUCAAUGCAUUUUACUAACAUGUAUAGAAAUGUCAUGAAGGAUUAAUAAAAUUAAUGCCAUAUUACUCCUGAUUCUCCAUGUUUUUGCACCUGAAAAGAUGUGUUAACAAUGUCACAAUGAAUAUAAAAUACUGGAAACUCAAAUGCAAAAUGCUAGCUGUUUAUUGCAACUUCACAUCAAUUCUGUAGAAAGCUAUACAAGUUGGAAGGAAAUACGGUAUCGUAUCACUUCUGACAUGAUGUGAAUAUUCUUGUGUUUCUCACAAGAUCUAAGGAAGUGAGUAUUUUUUCUAUGGCUGUAAGAAGAAAAGUAGGAAAGUGUAAAUUGUGUAUUUCUAAUCUGGAUGAUCAGCCAGGAAACUUGCCAAUUUUUUUUUAUUUUCUUAUUUUUUAUUCUAGGUCUUUAACUUAAUCAUAGCAAACCUUGCUUUUGCAGAUUUGUAUUCCUGCUCUGUUUUGUGUGUGAAUUAUUAAUUCUUCAUCUAAUGUUUGUUUUUGAAAAAAUAUAUAUUUUUCUCUAUGUAUUCACUUCCUUUUUGUUUAUAUAACAUAAUUUUCCUAACUUCAUUUAACUCUUUUUGGAAUGCUAGCCCAGAUGGAGUACCAGUUUCCUCAUAUCAUUAAUCCUGAUCUGAUUAACAAAAUGUAUAACAAUAAUGUAGAUAUGAUAUUACCAAUAAUAUUUUGAUGUUCUCUAAGCCUUGCUAGAAUCUAGUUAAAAUUAACAGAGAUUGAAUUUUUAAAAAGUAGUGAGGAAGUAGCAGGAUGAAAAGAUUUAACUAAAUGUCUUUUCUCUUUUCCAUUCUCACAUGAACACCAGGAAUUAGCAUACAUUUGAAAAACUUGUAUAAACAGGGCAAAGAGGG